GGAAGGGCUGUGGCUCAAAGGUAGAGCAUCUAUUUUGCAUGCACAAGGUCCCAGGUUCAAACCCAGGUAUUUCCA